UACGAGAGGCCCAAACGUUAUUCGGAAUUACUGGUCUUAAAGAGUUCGUAGGCGGCGCAGAAAGUAGGGUGUGAAAGCCCUCGGCUCAACCGAGGAAUUGCGCUCUAAACUACUGUGCUUGAGGAAUCUAGAGGUGAGCGGAACUGAUGGUGGAGCGGUGAAAUGCGUUGAUAUCGGAAGGAACGCCGGUGGCGAAAGCGACGUGCUGGCCCUCUUCUGACGCUGAGGCGCGAAAGCCAGGGGAGCAAACGGG
rnacentral:rRNA from 1 species